rnacentral:rRNA from 1 species
GAUGAACGCUGGCGGCGUGCCUAAUACAUGCAAGUCGAGCGAACAGACGAGGAGCUUGCUCCUCUGACGUUAGCGGCGGACGGGUGAGUAACACGUGGAUAACCUACCUAUAAGACUGGGAUAACUUCGGGAAACCGGAGAUAAUACCGGAUAAUAUAUUGAACCGCAUGGUUCAAUAGUGAAAGACGGUUUUGCUGACACUUAUAGAUGGAACCGAGCCGCAUUAGCUAGUUGGUAAGGUAACGGCUUACCAAGGCGACGAUGCGUAGCCGACCUGAGAGGGUGAUCGGCCACACUGGAACUGAGACACGGUCCAGACUCCUACGGGAGGCAGCAGUAGGGAAUCUUGCGCAAUGGGCGAAAGCCUGACGGAGCAACGCCGCGUGAGUGAUGAAGGUCUUCGGAUCGUAAAACUCUGUUAGUAGGGAAGAACAAAUGUGUAAGUAACUAUGCACGUCUUGACGGUACCUAAUCAGAAAGCCACGGCUAACUACGUG